GCCGGGGGCGCUCGGCGGGGCCGGGCCCGGGGAAGGUCAGCGCGGCCCGCGGCGUGUCUGGGGCAGCGCUGCCCGCGGCGGGAUGCGGCGCUGGGGGCCGGGUAGAGGAGGGCCGGCCCCGGGUGGCUCCUUCCGUCCACGGCUAUUUUUAAAGGCGGGGAGGGAGCGGCGAGUCCUCCAGGGUGACCUCCUUCUGCCGGGGCCGCGGCGGGCAGGGAGCUCGGGACCGCGCUCCGGCCUCUGCCGGGGCGGAGGAGCGGCCAGCGCAGGCUGGAAAUAACCCACGGAGCAGCGGUGGAAGUUUGGGAAUCGCAACUUUAAGAUGGGGAAAAGAGACAGAGGGAUAUGUCACGGAGUCAGUUAGGUUCGGGAGAUCUCUGAGGUCAUCGAGUCCAGCCUGAGCCCGAUGCCCACCCCGUCACCCAGAGCAGAGCCCUCAGUGCCACCCAGUCUUUCCUUAAACACCUCCAGGGACGGUGACUCCACCACCUCCCAGGGCUGCCCAUUCCGGUAUUUAAUCAUCCUUUCUGUGAAGAAAUCUUUCCAAAUGUCAGACCUGAAUCUCCCCUGGCACAGCUUAAGACAGUGUCUGGUCGAACUACUUUAAAACCUGUGUGCACAGCCCUCCACCUGCUGAAAAUGUCUGGCUUUAUCCCGCGUUUCCUGACGUUGGCAUUUUUCUGUUCUGCCCCAGGGCUGACUGAUGUAACCGGCAGCUGCUGAAAGCUGCUGCAGUGUUCUCUGAGUUUUCCUUUGUCCUGCUGCCUCGCCUCGAAACUCUGAUAUCCCUCUUAAUUAGAAACUCUGAUAUCCCCCUUCAUUUGUCUUGUGGCUUUUGCUUCACUUUGUUCCCCUGCUGUGAUCCAACAGCUUUGAUGCUGUUGAAUCUACCCGGCCAAGGAGAGCCACAAGUAGCCCUGAAAAUUCUGGCACUAAUGUGAACUGCAGGAAUGCUGCCUGUGUUCAGGGAAUUCAAAAGUAAUUGAACUGGAAGGGCCAAUGGAAUUCCUGCAUCAGCGUGGUUUAAAUAAACAGCUAAGAAUACCACAGUGGUAAAACUGUCUGCACCCAGGGCUGGCACUGCCCCAGCACGGGAGGUGUGGAGUUUUCGUGUGGCAGACGUGUCCUCCCAGCAGAAGGGAAGAAACAGAAUAUGGAAAAGAACACUUAAUAACUUCAAUUAUUCUUCCAGGGUGAAAAUUGGCGCAGACUUAAAAUGAGAAGGGUACGGAAGAGAACACAACAGCACAUCCUCCCCUGAGCAGCGUUUCACAAUCUCCACCAAAACCUGGUGCUUCUUUAGGUGUCACCCUGUACAAACGUGACAGGAGCACAAUUCCAGAAGGUGUUGGGUGAUGUCAGCGAGGUGCUGCUUCUCCCUGGCAGCCGCAGAGCAGGAGAUGUGGAUGGCUGGGCCUCUGCCUGUCCCCGUGGCUGCUCCCAAACCACUCCUGCCCGUCCUGCCGCAGCACCGGUUGUGCAAAGGCAGCGCUGGCAGACCUGAUGUCAUCACACGAUGACAUGUGCUUUUUAUAGGGUGAAAACAGUUUUCUUACUCUGGGCAGGAUUCUUGUCCAAAGACACGUUCCUUUGAACUGAAUGUGCUGAUCCAGUUUUCCUGGUGACUGAGCUGUUUCAAGGAGUGUUUGUAGUUGUCAGCCAGCAGCUCCAAAAGGCAUCUGUGUGUCGGAGGUGGUGUGAGGAGACUCAGUGCUGAAUAAAAUCCUGUCUGCUGCAAGACUAGAGCAGCUUUCAUUUAAAAUUAUUUAAAAAAAAAUAGACCAGCGUAUCUGUGGAGACUGAGUCCCUUCAUAAGUGACUUUAUUGAUGCAGAGAAAGCUAUAAUUGGUUUAAAAGUGCUUUCCUUGCUAGGGGUGAAUGUAAGGACAUUAAUUUCAAAGGAUGUUGACUGUGAACUCCAGCUGGCUCUGGUGAAAUAAUAAUGUUAAACAAAAUAACUAAAAACACUGAAGGGAACCAACUAAAUAUUUGUUUUUCUUCAUUUUGGAUAGACUCUUUAAUGGAGCCUGUCUAAAGGGAAUUGUUAAUCUGUAGACCAAAACAACUUUUUCAUACAGAACAGACACAGGAUUGUACUGGGUGUUUUUGUAUAAAAGGCAGCCCGGUGCCCGCCAGAGCAGUGGACAGCAUGUUGUUUGUUCCCCUGGGAGAUGUUCUGACAAACUCUGGAAAGAACAGCUUCCAUGCCAUCACCACUGCCUGCUCUGUGCCCUCACAGAGCUCCCCUUUUGCUACCUGCACUGCUCAGAUUUCUGGUGCUCUGCUUGCAGCAAUGAUUGACCUAUUUCCAUCAGCCUGGCUAAUCAUUAGUUGACUUAAAAUUGACACCUCCUUGUUGUCUGGGGCUGGAUUUGUUGUAAUGGUCUGGUGAUGUUUUCCUUAGAGUUCAGGUAAUGUUGUCCCUCCCUAAGGCUGCUUGAAGAGUUUCCCAGUGUUCUCCUGUCCUUUUUCCUAUUUGAAUUAAAGGUGCAUCUUUUGAAUUCAA